AAGGCAGCAGUGGGGAAUAUUGCACAAUGGGCGCAAGCCUGAUGCAGCUAUGUCGCGUGUAUGAAGAAGACCUUAGGGUUGUAAAGUACUUUCAAUAGCAUAAGAAGGUAAUGAAACUAAUAAUUUUGUUAUCAGACGUUAGCUAUAAAAGAAGCACCGGCUAACUCCGUGCCAGCAGCCGCGGUAAUACGGAGGGUGCUAGCGUUAAUCGGAAUUACUGGGCGUAAAGAGCACUUAGGUGGUUUAUUAAGUCAAGUGUGAAAUCCCUAGACUUAAUCUAGGAACUGCAUUUGAAACUAAUAGACUAGAGUUUCGUAGAGGGAGGUAGAAUUCUAGGUGUAGCGGUGAAAUGCAUAGAUAUCUAGAGGAAUAUCAGUGGCGAAGGCGACCUCCUGGACGAUAACUGACGCUAAAAUGCGAAAGCAUGGGUAGCAAACAGGAUUAGAUACCCUGGUAGUCCAUGCUGUAAACGAUGUCGACUAAGAAGUUGAAAGCUUUGACUUAUAAUUUCUGUAGCUAACGCGUUAAGUCGACCGCCUGGGGAGUACGGCCGCAAGGCUAAAACUCAAAUGAAUUGACGGGGGCCUGCACAAGCGGUGGAGCAUGUGGUUUAAUUCGAUGCAACGCGUAAAACCUUACCUGGUCUUGACAUCCACAGAAUUUUAUAGAAAUAUAAAAGUGCAAUUUGAACUGUGAGACAGGUGCUGCAUGGCUGUCGUCAGCUCGUGUUGUGAAAUGUUGGGUUAAGUCCCGCAACGAGCGCAACCCUUGUUUUUUGUUACCAUCAGAUUAAGCUGGGGACUCAAAAGAAACUGCCAGUUAUAAACUGGAGGAAGGUGGGGACGACGUCAAGUCAUCAUGGCCCUUACGACCAGGGCUACACACGUGCUACAAUGGCGUAUACAAAGAGAUGCAAUAUUGUAAAAUAAAGCUAAUCUAUAAAAUACGUCUUAGUUCGGACUGGAGUCUGCAACUCGACUCCACGAAGUCGGAAUCGCUAGUAAUCGUGGAUCAGCAUGCCACGGUGAAUAUGUUUCCAGGCCUUGUACACACCGCCCGUCACACCAUGGAAGUGGGUUGCAAAAGAAGUAGAUUAAUUUAACCUUCUUAACAAGAAAAUAGUUUACCACUUUGUGAUUCAUGA
rnacentral:rRNA from 1 species